rnacentral:rRNA from 1 species
UACGUAGGGGGCAAGCGUUGUUCGGAAUUACUGGGCGUAAAGGGUGCGUAGGCGGCAUGGCAAGUCGGGAGUGAAAGGCCUGGGCUCAACCGAGGAACUGCUUUCGAGACUGCCAAGCUAGAGUGCGGAAGGGGCAACUGGAAUUCCCAGUGUAGCGGUGAAAUGCGUAGAUAUUGGGAAGAACACCUGAGGCGAAGGCGGGAUGCUGGGCCGACACUGACGCUGAGGCGCGAAAGCCAGGGGAGCAAACGGG